rnacentral:rRNA from 1 species
AGAACGAACGCUGGCGGCAUGCCUAAUACAUGCAAGUCGAACGAACUCUUCGGAGUUAGUGGCGCACGGGUGCGUAACGCGUGGGAAUCUGCCCCUUGGUUCGGAAUAACAGUUGGAAACGACUGCUAAUACCGGAUGAUGACGAAAGUCCAAAGAUUUAUCGCCAAGGGAUGAGCCCGCGUAGGAUUAGCUAGUUGGUGAGGUAAAGGCUCACCAAGGCAACGAUCCUUAGCUGGUCUGAGAGGAUGAUCAGCCACACUGGGACUGAGACACGGCCCAGACUCCGUACGGGAGGCAGCAGUAAGGGAAAUAUUGGAACAAAUGGGGACGAAAAGCCUAGAUACCAGCAAAUGGCCGCGUGGAGUGAUGAAGGACUUUAGGGUUAGUUAAAG